rnacentral:rRNA from 1 species
UACAGAGGUCUCGAGCGUUAGGCGGAAUCACUGGGCUUAAAGCGUGUGUAGGUGGAUCGUUAAGUACCUUGUGAAAUCCCACGGCUUAGCCGUGGAACUGCUUGGUAUACUGGCGGUCUUGAGCCAGCUAGGGGCUACCGGAACAAAUGGUGGAGCGGUGAAAUGCGUAGAUAUCAUUUGGAACGCCAAAGGUGAGAACAGACGGCUGGGAGUGUGCUGACGCUGAGACACGAAAGCCAGGGGAGCGAACGGG